rnacentral:rRNA from 1 species
GACGAACGCUGGCGGCAUGCCUAAUACAUGCAAGUCGAGCGGAAUGACGAGAGCUUGCUCUCUGAUUUUAGCGGCGGACGGGUGAGUAACACGUGGGCAACCUGCCCUACAGAUGGGGAUAACUCCGGGAAACCGGGGCUAAUACCGAAUAAUCAGUUUGUCCGCAUGGACAAACUCUGAAAGACGGUUUCGGCUGUCACUGUAGGAUGGGCCCGCGGCGCAUUAGCUAGUUGGUGAGGUAACGGCUCACCAAGGCGACGAUGCGUAGCCGACCUGAGAGGGUGAUCGGCCACACUGGGACUGAGACACGGCCCAG